UCUACGGGAGGCAGCAGUGAGGAAUAUUGGUCAAUGGGCGGGAGCCUGAACCAGCCAAGUCGCGUGAGGGAAGACGGUCCUACGGAUUGUAAACCUCUUUUGCCGGGGAGCAACGGGGUCCUUGCGAGGGCCCAAUGAGAGUACCCGGAGAAAAAGCAUCGGCUAACUCCGUGCCAGCAGCCGCGGUAAUACGGAGGAUGCGAGCGUUAUCCGGAUUUAUUGGGUUUAAAGGGUGCGUAGGCGGGCUGUUAAGUCAGCGGUGAAAGUUUGUGGCUCAACCAUAAAAUUGCCGUUGAAACUGGAAGACUUGAGUGUGUUUGAGGUAGGCGGAAUGCGUGGUGUAGCGGUGAAAUGCAUAGAUAUCACGCAGAACUCCGAUUGCGAAGGCAGCUUACUAAGCCAUAACUGACACUGAAGCACGAAAGCGUGGGGAUCAAACAGGAUUAGAUACCCGAGUAGUC
rnacentral:rRNA from 1 species